rnacentral:lncRNA from 1 species
UGGGGAGAUACCAGAAAAGAAGCCUUCUUAUUCCAGAUUCAGUGGCUGCAGAUUUCAAGCGUUUGCAGGAUGCUGCUACAACCCCCCUCAAGGUUUUACAGUCCAUUCAUUGCACCGCUUAGACGUGUCCGCAGGAGAGGAGGAGGUGUGAGAGAUGGAAGAUCUGAUCAGCUUUUGGGGCCACGCAGACCUGGUUGUGAACGCCAGCGCUGCUGUGUGCUGACUGCAGCCUUGGGCAGGCCAUCUUCUGGGGCACGUUUCCUCUUCCUUUAAAAAGUGGAUAUUUUUCUCCCAGCAAUUGGCCCAACAGAAUUGCUUGCACAAAGGUGUGUGUACAUUGUUUGUACUAGCAACGACAACAAAAAAGAGACACGAUGUAGACCAUUAAUAGAGGACUGAUGUUAUUUUGGCAUAUCUGUAUAAUGAAAUACUAUGCGGGCAUCAAAAAGAAAAAGAUAGAUCUAUGUGAGUGGAUGUGAGAAGUCCUUGAUAUUUUACCAAGAGGAACAAAUUGAUUAACCGUAAGCACACUACAAAAAUCUAAGCGCGGACAGACCUGUGUCUAUUGCAGUCAUGCAGCGCACACACUAUGAGCAUUUAUGAAAGUUUGAAACGUUAAGCUGUAAACAAUGGUUAACCAAAACCUGGUCUGUUCCACUAAUUCUCAUUGUCUAAAAUAAGACAUUUAAAUUUCUGAUUUGUUCAAAUCAGGAUCCAAACAAGACUCCCACACCGCAUGUGGGUGAUGCUUCUGUCUCUUCUGAUUUACAGCAAUUCCUACAGCGUUUACUUGUUGAAAAACCCAAUUAUUUGUCCCGGGGACUUUGCUGCAUUCUGGAUUGGGUUGUCCUUGUCGGUAAAGGGUGAUGAGGAUUUUUAGGCUGGUUACUUUUAAAACUACAGAUAAGAAGCAGGCUCCAAGGAGUGGAAUUUGCUUGCCCUUUGAUCAGAGACAGUUGCAUUUGUGAAGGAAAUCUCCAUGCCUUCCUCUCUGCGCCAGGAGGAAGGGGAGAUGGGCUUAUCUCUGGAAACUCUUAAUGGGGAAGGCAAGAACUUAAGUUGUUUACUGUCUGGCAACCUCAUGUAACUGACCCCCCACCCCAAAAUCCUCCUUUGUCUUUAGUUGAAGAUAAUAUUUG